CCUACGGGAGGCAGCAGUGGGGAAUAUUGGGCAAUGGGCGCAAGCCUGACCCAGCAAUGCCGCGUGAAGGAAGAAGGCUUUCGGGUUGUAAACUUCUUUGACAGGGGAAGAGCAGAAGACGGUACCCUGAAAACAAGCCACGGCUAACUACGUGCCAGCAGCCGCGGUGAUACGUAGGUGGCAAGCGUUGUCCGGAUUUAUUGGGUUUAAAGGGUGCGUAGGCGGUCCGGAAAGUCAGCGGUAAAAGCCCGGGGCUCAACCCCGGCGAGCCGUUGAAACUGUCGGACUAGAGACGGCGAGAAGUACGCGGAAUGCGCGGUGUAGCGGUGAAAUGCAUAGAUAUCGCGCAGAACUCCGAUUGCGAAGGCAGCGUACCGGCGCCGGACUGACGCUGAGGCACGAAAGCGUGGGUAUCGAACAGGAUUAGAUACCCUUGUAGUC
rnacentral:rRNA from 1 species